AGCGUUUCUGGGAAAUCUCAGAAACAGAAGAAACCAGUUGAAAAGAAGGAAGAACUGAUACAAGAAUCUGGAACUGAUUCUGAUUACGACGGUGAUAGUUUGUCCGGAUCUUUGAAUUCGGAUGAUUUCGACUCCGAUAUCUUCGAAUCAGAGGAUGAUGUAACACAGGGAGGAACAGAAGAAGACGGAGGAGAUGGUGAAUCAUCUCAAGACGAGCUGCUUGAUCACGAGGGCUCAAUUGAUAGUGAGGAUGGUGAUGAUGGAAGUGAGCAAAUAGAUAGUGACAAUAUUGAGGAAGAAGAUGGGAGUGAUGAAGCUUCUGAUCGAGAUGAAGCGGUUGAAGAGAGCGAUUCCUCUGAAGAUGAGGUUGCUCCUAGAAAUACAGUUGGGGAUGUUCCGUUGAAUUGGUAUAAAGAUGAGAAACAUAUUGGUUAUGACAUCACUGGGAAGAA